GGUGUGGAUAGGGGAGAAAUUCCAAUCGAACCCGGAGAUAGCUGGUUCUCCUCGAAAUAGCUUUAGGGCUAGCCUCGUGAGAGUCAGGCGGAGGUAGAGCACUGAAUACCCGAGGGGGCGUCAAAGCUUACCAAAGGUUAUCAAACUCCGAAUGCCGCGCUGAUGCUUCACGGGAGUCAGACUACACGAGAUAAGUUGGGUGGUCAAAAGGGAAACAGCCCAGACCUGCAGCUAAGGUCCCAAAGUGCGUGUUAAGUGGAAAAGGAUGUGGGAUUUCGAAGACAACCAGGAUGUUGGCUCAGAAGCAGCCACACAUUCAAAGAGUGCGUAAUAGCUCACUGGUCGAGAGGUCCUGCGCCGAAAAUGUCCGGGGCUCAAACACGCCACCGAAGCUCAGGAAUGUAUUUAUACAUUGGUAGAGGAGCAUUGUCAGUGCAUCGAAGCUGUACCGGUAAGGAGCAGUGGAGCGCUGAGAAGAGAGAAUGCCGGAAUGAGUAGCGAGAAAGAGGUGAGAAUCCUCUUGGCCGAAUAUCCAAGGAUUCCGGGGUAAAGCUGAUCUGCCCCGGGUAAGUCGGGACCUAAGGCGAGGCAGAAAUGCGUAGCCGAUGGACAGCAGGUGGAGAUUCCUGCACUGCCAUAUAUCAGAAAUGUGGGGACGCAUCAGGAAAGUGUGGGCCGGGAAAGGAAAGACCGGUGCAAGCGGAGGAGGGGACAUGCAGGCAAAUCCGCAUGUCAACCCAAGAGCGUUAUGCGGAGCGAAGAAUAGUAGCGAAGCACACGGACAGGGUGCCGAGAAAAGCCGCUAUCGUGUAUAUGGUACCCGUACCGUAAACCGACACAGGUGGAUGAGGAGAGAAUCCUAAGGCCGGCGGGAGAAGCAUUGUUAAGGAACUCGGCAAAAUGGCCCCGUAACUUAGGGAUAAGGGGUGCCACAGUGAUGUGGCCGCAGAGAAUAGGCUCAAGCAACUGUUUAGCAAAAACACAGGUCUAUGCGAAACCGAGAGGUGAGGUAUAUGGGCUGACGCCUGCCCGGUGCUGGAAGGUUAAGAGGAGAGGUCAGGAAACGAAGCCUUGAAUUGAAGCCCCAGUAAACGGCGGCCGUAACUAUAACGGUCCUAAGGUAGCGAAAUUCCUUGUCGGGUAAGUUCCGACCCGCACGAAAGGCGUAAUGAUUUGAGCGCUGUCUCGACAAUGCACCCGGUGAAAUUGAAGUACCAGUGAAGAUGCUGGUUACCCGCGCCAGGACGGAAAGACCCCAUGGAGCUUUACUCCAGCUUGAUACUGGGAUCCGGUGUCCAAUGUACAGGAUAGGUGGGAGGCUGAGAGCCAUGAACGCAAGUUUAUGGGGAGCCGCUGUUGGGAUACCACCCUUUGGGUACUGGAUUUCUAACCUGCGCCCGUGACCCGGGCGGGGGACAAUGUCUGGCGGGGAGUUUGACUGGGGCGGUCGCCUCCGAAAGGGUAUCGGAGGCGCUCAAAGGUUCACUCAGAAUGGUCGGAAACCAUUCGGAGAGCGCAAAGGCAGAAGUGAGCCUGACUGUGACACCGACGGGUGGAACAGGUACGAAAGUAGGACUUAGUGAUCCGGUGGUAUAAAGUGGGAUUGCCAUCGCUCAACGGAUAAAAGCUACCCUGGGGAUAACAGGCUGAUCACUCCCAAGAGUUCACAUCGACGGAGUGG
rnacentral:rRNA from 1 species